rnacentral:rRNA from 1 species
CACGGAGUUAGCCGAUCCUUAUUCUUACGAUACCGUCAAGCUCCUAUACAUAGGGGUGUUUCUUCUCGUACAAAAGCAGUUUACAAUCCAUAGGACCGUCAUCCUGCACGCGGCAUGGCUGGAUCAGGCUUGCGCCCAUUGUCCAAUAUUCCUCACUGCUGCCUCCCGUAGGAGUCUGGUCCGUGUCUCAGUACCAGUGUGGGGGAUCUCCCUCUCAGGACCCCUACCCAUCGUCGCCUUGGUAAGCCGUUACCUUACCAACUAGCUAAUGGGACGCAUGCUCAUCUUUCACCGUUGUGACUUUAAUUAUAACUCGAUGCCGAGUCAUAAUACUAUGAGGUAUUAAUCCAAAUUUCUCUGGGCUAUCCCUCUGUGAAAGGCAGAUUGCAUACGCGUUACGCACCCGUGCGCCGGUCUCUAUCUCCGAAGAAAUAUACCCCUCGACUUGCAUGUGUUAAGCCUGCCGCCAGCGUUCAUCCUGAGCCAGGA